GAUGAACGCUGGCGGCGUGCCUAAUACAUGCAAGUCGAGCGAACAGACGAGGAGCUUGCUCCUCUGACGUUAGCGGCGGACGGGUGAGUAACACGUGGAUAACCUACCUAUAAGACUGGGAUAACUUCGGGAAACCGGAGCUAAUACCGGAUAAUAUAUUGAACCGCAUGGUUCAAUAGUGAAAGACGGUUUUGCUGUCACUUAUAGAUGGAUCCGCGCCGCAUUAGCUAGUUGGUAAGGUAACGGCUUACCAAGGCAACGAUGCGUAGCCGACCUGAGAGGGGGAUCGGCCACACUGGAACUGGGACACGGUCCAGACUCCUACGGGAGGCAGCAGUAGGGAAUCUUCCGCAAUGGGCGAAAGCUUGACGGAGCAACGCCGCGUGAGUGAUGAAGGUCUUCGGAUCGUAAAACUCUGUUAUUAGGGAAGAACAAAUGUGUAAGUAACUAUGCACGUCUUGACGGUACCUAAUCAGAAAGCCACGGCUAACUACGUG
rnacentral:rRNA from 1 species